GGGGAAUCAGAAAGCUUAUCAUCAGUGUGAUUUCAUUAUGAAGUCAGAUGGAAUGAGGAGUGUGUAAAUCCAGAAUCAGAAUCCCAGCGACGAAGCUUUUCUUGCUCUGUUACCUUGGAAAAUGCUUUGAACCAGACCAGAUAAGAAAAGUAAAAGUCUGGAGUGUAAUCCUUCCAAUUGUCUUUUGGCUUCUCUUCUACUUCUACAAAAAGUUCAACAAGUCGGUGGGCAGAAGUCUAAAAUCAAGGUGUCAGCAGUGUGGAAUCCUUCUGGAGGCUUUGAGGUACUCGACUGUGGUUCAAUCUCCA
rnacentral:lncRNA from 10 species